rnacentral:rRNA from 1 species
GACGAACGCUGGCGGCGUGCCUAAUACAUGCAAGUAGAACGCUGAAGGAGGAGCUUGCUUCUCUGGAUGAGUUGCGAACGGGUGAGUAACGCGUAGGUAACCUGCCUGGUAGCGGGGGAUAACUAUUGGAAACGAUAGCUAAUACCGCAUAAUAGUAGAUGUUGCAUGACAUUUGCCUAAAAGGUGCAAUUGCAUCACUACCAGAUGGACCUGCGUUGUAUUAGCUAGUUGGUGGGGUAACGGCUCACCAAGGCGACGAUACAUAGCCGACCUGAGAGGGUGAUCGGCCACACUGGGACUGAGACACGGCCCAGACUCCUACGGGAGGCAGCAGUAGGGAAUCUUCGGCAAUGGACGGAAGUCUGACCGAGCAACGCCGCGUGAGUGAAGAAGGUUUUCGGAUCGUAAAGCUCUGUUGUAAGAGAAGAACGAGUGUGAGAGUGGAAAGUGCACACUGUGACGGUAUCUUACCAGAAAGGGACGGCUAACUACGU